GGUGGCCGAGUGGUUAGAGCGUCCGCCUCGGAUGCGGGAGGUCGUGGGUUAGAUCACCGGCGAGUCA